rnacentral:rRNA from 1 species
CAUCACUACGCUAGAUGCAUAUCAAUAAGCGGAGGAAAAGAAACUAACAAGGAUUCCCCUAGUAACGGCGAGUGAAGCGGGAAGAGCUCAAAUUUGAAAUCUUAAAAGGUUUUCCUUUUACGAAUUGUAGUUUAAAGAAGUGCUUUUCUGUUGAAGUUUUGGUACAAGUUCUUUGGAAUAGGACAUCAUAGAGGGUGAGAAUCCCGUAUUUGACCUUAAUUUUUCAACUUUGUGAUACACUUUCAAAGGAGUCGGAUUGUUUGGGAAUGCAGUCCAAAAUGGGUGGUAAAUUUCAUCUAAGGCUAAAUAUUGGCGAGAGACCGAUAGCGAACAAGUACCGUGAGGGAAAGAUGAAAAGAACUUUGAAAAGAGAGUUAAAUAGUACGUGAAAUUGUCAAAAGGGAAGCGUUUGGCACCAGUGUUGUUUUUCUAAAAAUCAAUUUAAAAUUUGCUUAUGUUAAGUGUUUUAGACUUAAUCGGCUAUACAUUUAAUUCUUUGUAAAUUUUGAAUGCACUUUUUAGUUAACAAGUCAACAUCAAUUUUUUUUGCUGUAAAAAAGUAAGAGGAAGGUGGCUUGGGAUUCGUUUCAAGUCGUUUAUAGCCUCUUGCCCAUGCAGUAGGAGAGAUUGAGGUCUGCAGCAUAGAUCCUUCGGGGCUAGAUGCUUUUGUGCUAGAAGCUAGUAUUAUAUAGACAACUUGUUGAUUAUGUAAUAUAUUAGUUUCUACUCGCUAAGUUAUUUUACCUACGCUUAGGAUGUUGACUGAUAUGUAGUCGU